rnacentral:lncRNA from 1 species
UAUCUGGAAGCUGAGAAGUCCUGAGGAUAAUAAGGAUGCUUCAUGUCUUAGAUGGAAGUCGAGCUCAAGAAGAGAGAAAGGGGUCUUGUUUCCCACCCACACCUAAAAUAACCAGCAUUUGGUGACAGAUAUUGACCACAGGGCUUUUCACGUGCUCCACCACCCUGAGCCUCAUCCACAGCCAAGAACAUGUAUUUUGGAAUCCACAGAACAAUUACAUCUCUUUGGUGUUGAUAUCUGUCCUAGAUCACCGGUUUUAAAAUAAUUGUUAACAGUUAAGUGGCAUAAUUAUUUUUUAAAAUGAAAAUAACUUUAAAAUCCUGUAAAAGAAUAUGAUUCAGCAAUGGUGAAUAUUCAAAGAUGCUAUUUGUCAUUAUGAGAGAUGUCUUUGCAAUCUUAAAGUACUGUUGCC